GUCUCCUAAAGAGUAACGGUGGUGCACAGAGGUCUUUUAUUUUAAUGAACGUGAAAUAUUAAACGUUAAAUAAUAAGAAGGCUUGAUUGUGAGAGUAACUACUUAAACGAGGACGAAAGUCGGUCUAAGUGAUCCGGCAACUCUAAGUGGUAGGAUGAAAC
rnacentral:ncRNA from 1 species